UCCCCAGUUGUCAAGACAACAGUUCAUAAUUGUACCAGCUCUUUUCAUUGCAGCUAGACAUUUCAUAAAUAGAUAAUUCUCUAAUUGAUCCAGCCAAUCCUACUUUGCAUACCCUGCCAAACUAGAUCUGUGGUCAGAUUUGCUCUCCAGGACCCGAUCAAACCCAGCAGACCACACCAGAGAAACAGAAUAAAUGCACAGACUCUUUAGUGCAGUCCUGAUUUCUGUAUUAAUGAAUUGAGAAGAUGACAUCAGGCUCUUAGCAUUCAUAAUAAAGCAAAUGUGGUGUUUCGGAGCAAUAUGACAUCUCAAGUAAUCUUCUUAAAAGUAAGUAG